CAAAAGAAGGGUAGGGGUGUGGUAAGGUGGCGGCGGCGAGAGUGUUUUAGGGUAGGAGGUGCUUAGGUUAGAGAUGGAGGCAGUGUUGUCGGAGUUGGUGUUGGUACCACAACGGCCUAUCACCGCCGCUACUGUAGAGACGGGGCCACGCCAAGCUCGACGGCACCAACCGAUAAAAAGACGACCUGUCAACGCGGCGGCAAGCACUAGGGCCUGCCUAGACUCCUCGAGGCGCGGCCUAGGCGAGCAGGGUGCAGAAGUACACCUCGGGGCCGACGGGCCUGCGAAAGUGCUGCGGCCGUUCGGGACGCGGCGGUGGGGAGCGCGGGGAGUUUAGCCUGCGGUAGACCUCGAACACGUGGUGGAUACCUCCUUCCCAUUCCCUCGUCCCCGGUGGCACUCCAGACCCGUAACGACGUCGUCGACCCCUUCCUCCUUCGUGCCCGAAGCUAGAUCGGCUUCGUCGGCCUCCUCUUCCUUCGUUCCCUUCCCUCGAGCAGGAGCUACGUCGUUAUGCUUCUGUUGUUCCCGAUCCUUUACCUAAAGAAGUGACUGGUUUAGCUUCAGGCAUGCGUGAGGCCGGAGGAGGUUAGAGAGGAAGAAAGACAUUAGGGGUAGAGGCAUCCACUACAUUAGGACUUCGAUUUAUGUAAGCGUAAUCGAACCCUAAUCCUUUUUACGAGUAUACACUAUGAAGAUCGAAAUAUCGGGUAUCGAACAAUUAACUAACGAUCGAAGACCAGUAUAAGCUCAUCUUAUCGCAUCGUCGUGUGCUCAAGAUCCAUGAACUAUAGUUUGUUGUCAUAUACUAAACUAAAUCAUCGCUUGUUCGUUAUCACGUGUGGGUAUAUAUUCGUCGGCCAGUUCCCUCGUCAGUUUCAACGUGUUACUGAUGAUCUGUCCACCGGACCUGUCGACAGCUUCAACGUGUUUGUGCCGUCGUAUCAAUCCCCGGAAUCCCAAUCAACACAUCUUCAAAAGUGUCUAAAUCACACUUACAAAAAUCGGUAAACACGUUGGCCCUGUCGAAAGGAACACGUUGGACAAUAUAACUUGAGCGGUUGAAGUACAAUUUCUAUCGGUUGGAUUCAAAAACAAAAACUACCUAAAACAAAACAAAACCCCACUGUCAAAAACACAUGUUGAUCCGUCGUUUAGUACACGUUAAAAAUAAAAAUAAGUUGAUCGCAUCAGAAAGACUCCGACGAUAAAAAAAUCAACGUGUUACACCUACGUUUGCCACACCUAGUGUGCCACUAUGUUUCCGUAAAACAUCGGUUAAACAAAACGUUGAUCCGUCCAGGUAAUAGGUUCAACAAAACUAACUGAACGGUUAGUUCAUCAUAUUAAAAAAUACCCACCGAAAAAAGCGAGUGGGCCUAUCCUUAAGUACACGUUGAAAGAAAAAUUAAGAACACGUUGAACAAUAGAACUCAACGGUUGAAGUGUAAUUCUCAUCGGUUGAAGUAUACAUUUACAUCGGAUGGUGUGGGGAUAAAACAGAGGGGGACACGUUAAAACAAUUAAAACUGAUGAUACAAACAAGAAAAGACAAAACGUCUCUGUUUUACCAACCACUUCCUCUACACGAACCAUCACUUUAUCUCUAAGUAUAAAAGAAAAGAAAAUAGGAUACUGGUAAAUAAAUACAAGAAAAUAAAAUGGUAGAGUCAUCAAGUUGGAAAAAACAAGUAACAUCCCAAGAGGUUUAUCCUGGAGAACCGCCCUGAGUUUUGCCCCACGAUUCGCUUUACUGAACGUAGGAGCCCAAAAGGAUCAACGUGUUCUCAUGGACUAAUCAACCGUAGGAGUCGUAAAGAUCACCGUGUUAUGGUGGAUUGAUCAACUGUAGGAAUCAGAAAAGCAUCGACGUAACUGUGGGAGUUGUAAAAGAAGAUCUUCGGAGCUUGGACUUACAAGUUAAAAAACUAACCAGUACGUUCACGACUUAUAAAAAAAAGGGUUCUCAUAGAUUAAUUAACCGUAGGAAGUCUAAAUAUCAACGUGUUCUUAUAAGUUAAUCAACCGUAGGAGUCGGAAAGAUGAACGUGUUUAUCAUAGGUUGAUUAACUGUAGGAAUCGGAUAGAUCAACGUGUUCUCAUUGAUAAAAAAUCAGAGUAGAAGUUUAAAAACUCCCAAAGGGUUCUCAUAG
rnacentral:rRNA from 1 species